rnacentral:lncRNA from 1 species
GAGCACACUAUCGGCAUUCCUUCACCUUCUUUUAUUCAAUUUUUUGGCCACCAAUUCAUAGUUUUUUUUUUUUUUUUUUUUUUGGUGAAGGUAAGUGGUAUAUUGAACUUUGACCAAAAGCUUUACAGCUAUAUAACAAGGAUCCAACACCAAAACUUGCACUCCAAAGACAAGAAGUCAACUCGAGUGGAAGAGUGCCACUGAUUCAUAGUUCAUUUCACGAAAAGUGAAAAAUACUAUCUUGGAGGUUUUACAUCAAAAGUGAAUAAUUCAUAACUCAUAUAAAACUUAUCCUCAAGAUAUAUGCAACCGAUGGAUCAAUAAUGAGGAUAUGUAUGAUGGUCAACUAUUCACAAGGAUCAAAUGAACAUUAGUUUUGACAUCAUUUUUGCAUUUAGGGAAAAAAUCCUCACAUUAGGAAACUUCCUUGACCAAUUACAAGGUGCUCUGGUCGACCUAGAGAAUGGAGUACAGACGCAUGCGCGGGAUCUGAAUCGUGAAAUGUGAAGGCCAUCUCGCUAGAAAGAAAAGGUCAUCAUUAGGGAGUAGCAACCUAUCUUCUUCAAUGCUGAUCAUCCGCUUGAUCCAAUCUUGGAAAUCACCAUCCUGAUUUGCUUGCGCGAUUCCAGCAGACUCGGGGUAGGUUGUGUCCCCAUUAGAAGCUAGCAAUCAUUAUGAGGAAAGGGUCCACCAUAAUUGCUUUUGAAGGGCUUCCCAUUUACUUGUUGAGUCUCUCAGUAAACAAUUGUACAAGGUGUCGAUGAGGUCGAGUCAUUCAUAGUGGACGAGUUAUUGUUACCAAUGAAAGGCAUUGUGCUUACAUGUUUAUCAGUCUCGUGGUGAACAGCAAUAGAAGAAGGCGGGACCGAGGCUAAAUGACCCAAACUGAUGAUUCAAACUAUUACGGCAGCUUUUCCAUCCUUUUUGCUCAAACUGCUCUUCGUUUCGAACUAAAAGAGUCGGCCAGCACCAACUUGGUUGUCUUGUGAACUUUUAUCUCCGCUUUAUUUUGGCUAGCACCAACUUGGUUGCCUACUGAAUCCUCGAUUUGAUCUUCUUUGGUGUCGUGAAAACGCAAAAGGAUUUGUCGGAAGAUGGUUCGAACAUCUUCCAUGGCUCCUCUCUGUAGAUAUUGUGCCCCGGAAUGAGAUGGGUUAGGUAUCAGCAUUCUUGUCACCUUCUCCACCAAAUAGAGGUAGAGUUCCUCUGUCGGAUAUGGCGUCAAAUCUAAGCAAAUCCUUUUCCACGAUCUCUCACUAGAGCCAAAUCAAUGACUUUUACUAAUUUUGUUUUUUUUUCACAAUGCUUUGGUGUAUUAUACUAAUAUGAGUCUUGGCUUGCCCUAUUCAUGAAUCUAUCUAUAACUUCUUGAGAUGAAAGAGAUGUACAUGAUCAUCUAAAUCUUUUUUAAAUAAGACCAUUUUAGGAAAAAGUGUCAAAAAAGUCACAAACAUAUUGUAUCGCUACUGAUUUAGUUUUAAUAAACCUUACAAUGGUGUCGAUUUAAUCAUUAACCUUUUGAUAUAGAGUCAAUUCAAUCUUUCUGGUUAAUUUUGGUCGAGUAUUGUUGACGCGAACAUCAACUAGCCUAUGUGGCCCUUCCAACAUAAACACCGACAAUUUUUAAUAAUAAUUGAAUAUUUUCCCGGAUAUUUAUUUUUAUUUUCUCUUAUUUUCUCUUCUUCUUAUUUUUUUUUCACUUCUUCUUCCUUUUGUUGUUGACCGACCACUGUAACCAUGGCUGAGCUGGCCUCGCCCAAGCCAAAUCUAGCAAGGUCAACGUUUGCCUAGGCUAGGGCGACCUCGUCGAGCAUCGCCUUCACUCGAGCAACGCCCUAGCCUAGGCAAGGGCUAGCCUCAUCAAAUUUGGUGAGGGGAACCUUGGUCAAGCCUCACCCAGGUGAGACUAGCCUAACCAUCACGGUGGCCGGUCACCUACAAAAGAAUGAAGAAGGGAAAAAAUCAGAAAAAAAAACUACUUAUAUAUAUAAAUUGUCUAUGUUAGCGCCAGCAAUGUCGCGUAGAUUGGCAAGUAUCCACAUCAACAAUAUCAAGCCAAAAUUAGCUACAAAGACUAAAUUGACAUUAGGUUAAGAGGUUUAUAACUAAAUUAGCACCAUUAAAAUGUUUGGGGCUAAAUUGGCAUCAAUACAAUAUGUUUAUGACUUUUUCGACAUUUUUCCUGACCAUUUUAUAGUAAUUCAAGCUGUCACUUCAAAAUUGUAUCUUGCCAUUAUCUUAUUGUGUUAAAUCUAGAUAUGACAUGAACACAUCUCUAAAAUUCUGACAUGGCUUAACACAAUAAGACACUAUUACAUAUAAAUUAAUAGAAUGAUUAGGGAAAAUUAUCUAAAAAAUCCUAAACUUAUUACACUUUUACCAACUAAGUCUUAAACCGUUUAAUGUUACCAAUUAAGUCAUAAACCUCUCAUCUUUUGCCAAUUGAAUCUAUCCGAACAAAAUUGACCAAAUGGACUCAAUUGACAAAAGAUGAAAAUGUUUAGUACUAAAAUGACAGAAAUGCUAUAUAUUUAGGACUUUUUGGUCAAUUUUCUCAUCUUUAAAUUUAUAUAUCAAUUUGGGGUGAUAAAAAAAAAUACAAGUUUGCACAUAUUUAAAUUACAUUAAGUUCAACAACUUCGCCAUUCAGCCACUUUGAUCUUUAAAAAUAGAGAUUUUAAGAGAAAAUCAUUCAAAAAGUGCUAAAUCUAUUGUAAUUUUUGCAAUUCAAUUUUGAACUUUGCAAUUUUACUAAAUGAGUCAUAAAUAUUUCCAUAUUUUGCUAAUUAAAUCUAUUUGGCUAAUUUUGGCCAGAAAUUGCUUACGUGGACAUCAACAUCCUAUGUGGCACGGCCAGCCAACGUAAACAAUUUUUAAUAAUAUUUUUUGAAUUUUUUAUUAAUUAUUAUUUUUUUCUUUCUUUUUCUUUUUCUUUUUUAAUUAUGGAAGGGUCACCAGGCCCUCGUUGGCCAUUGGGCGGCCCUUGUUGACCGUUGGCAAGGCUGCAACCUAGUCGCUUGCUAGUCUUGUUGGAAGAUCAUCGCGGGAUUUCAGGAAAUCUACAAGAAAGAAAAAAACACGUGCGACAAAAAGGGCGUCGUUGGUGUGGCUGUGGUAAGUUCAGCCACGGCUCUAGGUUUCUCUGUAAAUAAUAGUGAUUCCAAAACACCCCAAUAGCGAGCUUUAAUCGCACUAAAGCAGCCUCACCGACGCCUUGUAGCUCUUCCCAAUGCAAUAAUAAUAAUUAUAAAGAAUGAAAAGAAAAAGAAAAAAAUUAUUAAAAUUUAUCCACAUCAGCAUCGAUCAUGCUAUGUAGGACGUCUAACGUUCAUGUCAACAAUUUCUGACCAAAACUGGCCAGAUAGACUCAAUUGCAAAAAGUAAAAAAGUUUAAGACUCGAUUGGUAAAAUUGAAAUAUUUGUAACUAAACUAAAAAAAGUGCAAAAAGUUUAAGACUUUUUAAACAAUUUUCUCAAAAUUUCAAUAUGCUGUGUCGAACACGUAUCAUAGUUUUUGCACGACAAAUGUGUUAGUCAAAAGGAAAUUCCAUAAUCUGUAAAAACAAUUCAAAAGCAACUAAAGAGUAUCCUCGAAACUUGAUAUUUAGGCAAUGUGCAAGCAUUUCAACUCAAUUAUGACAAAAAAAAAACAAGUAUUUCAACCCAAAGUAAAUUCAACAAGCACAUUCAUCUUCAUAGCCUGAAACUUAGUGUCGAAUUAUUAAACUUUCCCUUACACCUAGUCUCAAGAGCACAAAUCUAUGUAUCUCUAGUAAUUAUCUUAUAUGUAUGAGACAAAGAGACUAUAACACUGAACAGGAACGACUCGAGUGCUUGAAGAGUCAUAGACACCAUUUAUAUGAAAUAAAUAAUCAAAUUUAAUUCAAAUGAAGUGUUAAAAGAAACUAAAUUACACGAGAGUUCAGAGAUGGAAUUCAACUAUUGUCAGAGCACACAAUCGGCAUUCCUUCAACUUCUUUUAUUUAAUUUUUUGGCCACUGAUUCAUAGUUCAUUUCAUGAAAAGUGAAAAAAUACCAUCUUGGAGAUUUUACAUCAAAAGUGAUUAAUUUAUAGCUCAUGUAAAACUGAUCCUCAAGAUAUAUGCAACCGAUGGAUCAGUAAUGAGGAUACUUACAAUGGUCUAACUAUUCACAAAAAUCAAAUGAACAUUAGUUUUGACAUCAUAUUUGCAAAUAGGGAAAAAAAUCCUCGCAUUAGGAAACUUCCUUGACCAAUUACAAGGUGCUCUGGUCGACCUGGAGUAUGGAGUAUGGAGUACAAACGCAUGCGCGGGAUCUGAAUCAUGAAAUGUGAAGGCCAUCUCGCUGGAAAGAAAAGGUCAUCAUUAGGGAGUAGCAACCUAUCUUCUUCUAUGCUGAUCAUCCGCUUGAUCCAUCCUGAUUUGCUUGCGUGAUUCCAGCAGAUUCGGGGUAGGUUGUGUCCCCAUUAGAAGCUAGCAAUCAUUAUGAGGAAA